CCCUUAGAUGUUCUGGGCCGCACGCGCGCUACACUGACGAAGCCAGCGAGCAUCUCCUACGCCGAAAGGUGCGGGGAAUCUUGUGAAACUUUGUCGUGCUGGGGAUUGAUUUUUGAAAUUCUUGAUCAUAAACGAGGAAUUCCUAGUAAGCGCAAGUCAGCAGCUUGCGUUGAUUACGUCCCUGCCCUUUGUACACACCGCCCGUCGCUACUACCGAUUGAAUGGUUUAGUGAGAUGUUUGGACCGGAACUCUCUUGCUCAGCAAUGGGCGAGAGAGAGUCUGGGAAGUCCCUCUAACUGUAUCAUUUAGAGGAAGUAAAAGUCGUAACA
rnacentral:rRNA from 1 species